UACAUCAUGAGUAUGAUGUAGGCUCAGAUCGAAUGCUAUCUAGAGGCUUAACACAUGCUAAUAAAUAUUUAUAUAUUUGUAUACAGGUGAGUAGACAGGGAUUAAUAACCCUUAUAGAUGCAGGUAGUAGGAGAGUAGCCUCCUAGCCUUAGACCUAUACCCCAUUAUUGACGUAAUAAGGGGCACAUGGUAUAUAUAUACCACUACUCUUAGUAGCAGCAGUGAGGAAUCAUCGACAAUGACCUAACGGUUGAUCGUGUUAUCUAGAUGAGAUUGUUAAUGACUAGUAUGAAGCCUCCCGCCCGCUAUGUUCCAUAGCGGGCGGGUAUUAUUCUACCCCUUAAUGUUAACUUUAUCUCGACCUAUACACUAAGUAUGAUGGUGUAUCUAUAUAUAUUUUAUAUAUAUAGGUUAUGGUUUAGUUCUUACCCAGUGGUGUGCCAGCAGUAGCGGUCAUACACCCAGAGCGAGCAUUGAUCGUCCUUGGCCUAAAGGAUCCGUAGGUGUAUGUUUAUUUACAUAUUGAAUAUAUUAUUGAUAUUUAAGUACAGCUUAUAUAGAGAUAAAAUACUAUUACAUAAGUUAGACUAUAUAGUUAGAAUAUAAUAAUAUAUUGACACUGAGGGAUGACAGCUGUAGUAUCAACGUGGAUUCGAUACCCAUUUAGUUACAGCCGUAAACUAUGUGUACUAUGUAUAAAUAGAAAUAUUAUAUAUAUAUAUAAUUAACAUCUAUUUAUGGAUACAUUAACAUGAAGAGUACACCGCCAGACUAGUACGUCCUCAAGGAUGGAAUGCAAUACAUUAGACGGUCGUAUAUACCUACAGUGGAUCAUGCUGUUUAAUUGGACGAUACACCUUAAACCUUACCUAGUCUUGAAUGUUUUAUAUUUAUUAUAAAUCACAGGCGUUACAUCGUUGUCGUCAGUUCAUGCCUAGUGGUCUCUUGUUGAGUCAGUAAAUGAACGAAACCCUUGAUAGUUGAUUAUAUCCUUACACCCGCCCGCAAUCAAAGAUUGCGGGCGGGGUACUAUGUGUAUAUAUAUAACUAUAUUGCACUACAGACAUGUAGUGGUAAGUAGAGGCUGAAGACUAAUCAUGAUGACCCUUAUGACUAGGGCUACAGGUGUGAUACGAAGUUAUAAUCAAUUAAACUUAUCUUAUCAUUAUAUAUAAGGUUAAUGAAAUUAUAAUUCUAUGCCUAUGAUGCUUAAAUUUGAUUGUCUCCUGCAAUUCGGGAACAUGCAAGCGGAACUGUUAGUAAUCGUAGACUAGAGAGCUACGGUGAAGAUAACCUAUACUUCGCACUAAUCACUCAUCAAUAGCACAGAAGGAAUCUAUAUGCAUUUUGAAAUUAACCUAUAUUAAGUUAUAUUAAUUAACUUAUCAUUAUAUAUUUAUAUUAUAGUCGAUAUAUAUAGAGUUAGAUGCCUUAAAGAUUACUGAUAUGCUAUAAGUUGAAAUACAGUUCGGGUAGGGGAACCUGCUCGGGAUGUAUAAUAAUA
rnacentral:rRNA from 1 species